CUGAUUAUUGAAAGGUGCUUGCAUCUUGAUUUAAUUUUGAACGAGUGGCGGACGGGUGAGUAACACGUGGGUAACCUGCCCUUAAGUGGGGGAUAAUAUUUGGAAACAGAUGCUAAUACCGCAUAAAUCCAAAAACCGCAUGGUUCUUGGCUGAAAGAUGGCGUAAGCUAUCGCUUUUGGAUGGACCCGCGGCGUAUUAGCUAGUUGGUGAGGUAACGGCUCACCAAGGCAAUGAUACGUAGCCGAACUGAGAGGUUGAUCGGCCACAUUGGGACUGAGACACGGCCCAAACUCCUACGGGAGGCAGCAGUAGGGAAUCUUCCACAAUGGACGCAAGUCUGAUGGAGCAACGCCGCGUGAGUGAAGAAGGCUUUCGGGUCGUAAAACUCUGUUGUUGGAGAAGAAUGGUCGGCAGAGUAACUGUUGUCGGCGUGACGGUAUCCAACCAGAAAGCCACGGCUAACUACGUGCCAGCAGCCGCGGUAAUACGUAGGUGGCAAGCGUUAUCCGGAUUUAUUGGGCGUAAAGCGAGCGCAGGCGGUUUUUUAAGUCUGAUGUGAAAGCCCUCGGCUUAACCGAGGAAGUGCAUCGGAAACUGGGAAACUUGAGUGCAGAAGAGGACAGUGGAACUCCAUGUGUAGCGGUGAAAUGCGUAGAUAUAUGGAAGAACACCAGUGGCGAAGGCGGCUGUCUGGUCUGU
rnacentral:rRNA from 1 species